UGUGAUGAAUUACAGCAGCAAUACUUGAAAUAUAAGGAAGAAGUGAAGCAAUUAUGAUACCUAUUAUUUUUUAUAAUGACAGAAGGAACGUGGAAGAAAAAAAAACAUUUUGUGCAGCAUGCGAAAACAAGGAAAUAGAAUGAAAGAAGGGCUGCUACUUUUCAUGCUCCCGAAACCAGCCAUCUCAUCAUCAUAGCAUGUUGCAUUGGAGCUCUGCUUGAGUUUGCUGAUGACAGGAUGCUGAAGGGCUGAAGCUGGUAGCUCUGGCAGGAGUCCAGUGUCCACCAGCUCAAGAUCCGACGCCGCCGCGUCGCCGCCGUGCGGCACUCCGCGGAGACGGGGACGGCGGUCAUGAUUGAAGACACCGCAUUUCCCACCUGGACUGUCCGGUCGGAGACUGGUAAUCCCUCCGGUGAGCCGCACACCGUGGAGCUACUGCACCGCGCGUGUCCACCCGCAGCGCAGUGCCAUCAACGGUGCCGUGAGUGCGACAUCUGCGUGCAUAUGACGCAGUGCGACUGUCACGACUCGCGGCUCAGUGUUCUGUCAGUGUGACAGUGCGGCUCGCGCUCGUUUUAGCGUGGUGCUCUGUUGUAUAUAACUACCUUGAUGGAGACCUAUGUGCUGCCGCUUGAGUUUCAAUGUACAGUUUUAUGCAUCAAACUAGCGUAAGUAAAUGGCUGUCAGAGGUCAAUUUGAAGCGCAAUUAGUACCCAUAACCCAGCUGGGUUGAGUGAGUCAUGUGACUAGUCCCGAUGAACGUACUGUUUCGAUGUCGUCAGUCGUAGACUUUUGUAAACCAUUCGUUUCGGAGCUCUGUGUUGUGUUGUUCGGGACCGCAGUUGUUUGAGCAGUUUGCUUUAUGCGUCGUACGCUGACAGAACGCUGGUCGUACACAAGUCAUGUGUUUCCUUUCGCCCCUAAUGUGUUAAUGCGGUACCAUGCAGUUGUAAUGUGUCUCUAUACACUAACUGGUCGCACGUGGUUGUGAAAAUGACACUAGCUGGUCGCACUUGGUUUCAAACUGCGCUUGGAAGUCGUGCAAUUUUAUUUGCAUUUUGCAAUGCAAUUUUAUUGCCGUUACCAUAUUGGUAGACUGAGAUAGUGUCAGAAGUUGGCCAUUUGAUGCGUUGUCACUUGUCAGACGUUGUUGCCUUAGUACUGACGAAUUGAUGGGCCGCGUUUGUGUUCCUGUUAAGAAACGGAUCUCAAUAUAAGGUGAUUCAGAGGUAGGAACCUGAAUGCAUUC
rnacentral:lncRNA from 1 species